AACGAACGUUGGCGGCAUGGAUUAGGCAUGCAAGUCGCGGGAAUCCCAGCAAUGGGGGAACCGGCGUAAGGGGCAGUAAGGCAUGGGUAACCUACCCCGGGGUUCGGGAUAGCCCUCCGAGAGGAGGGGUAAUACCGGAUGACGUCGUGAGACCAAAGGUCCGCCGCCCUGGGAGGGGCCCAUGUGAUAUUAGCUAGUUGGCGGGGUAACGGCCCACCAAGGCUGAGAUGUCUAGCGGGUGUGAGAGCACGACCCGCGCCACUCGCACUGAGACACUGGCGAGACACCUACGGGUGGCUGCAGUCGAGGAUCUUCGGCAAUGGGCGCAAGCCUGACCGAGCGACGCCGCGUGUGCGAUGAAGGCCUUCGGGUUGUAAAGCACUGUCGAGGGGGAGAAAACCCCAAAGGGUUGAUCUAUCCCUGGAGGAAGCACGGGCUAAGUUCGUGCCAGCAGCCGCAGUAAAAC
rnacentral:rRNA from 1 species